UUAGAGCUCAAACUCAGUAGAAGAAUUUGUACUGUAGUUCCAUUCCCUUUUCUCUUUGGAAGCACAUCUCUCUGCAUUGCCUUCUACAAGCAAACUUUCCCAGGAAGGGAUACACAGAACAAUGCCCACCCGGUAUGGAAAGGUAACCUGUACAUCCUCAUCAAUGCAACAACAGCAAUAAAGAGUUUCCUUUGUAGAAAGCCACAUGAUCAUCCCACAGGCAACUGGCUCCUUCCUCCUCAAUGAUGAACAAGAAGACCUCAGGCCUUUGCGUCAACAACAAGAGAUAAAGUGACCACAACUUAACCUGCUCUGGCCUGGAGUGCCCUCUGCUGCCCUGUGACCAAGUGACUUUCUAAUCUGCAUCCUUCUGAAAGGAUUGGGGAGCUUGCAAGACUGGGCCAGAGACUGGAAAAGAUGCAUUAUCCUGAAGGAAAUCAAUUUCCUCAGCCAUCUUUCCCACCCUCUCACAGUGAGAAACACUUAAUUGAAAAUGUUGGGUGAUUAAAUACCUACGAAUGGGAUGGUGCAUCUGUGUUUUGAAAGAGCAAUUUCCAAAUACCUGGUUCUUCCAUCCCAUCCUGCUAUAUAUGAGAACACGUAAGGGCCUGUCUGAUAUGAUAAUCUCUGCAACCAGAUUCAAAAUUCUGCAAUCAGAACAAAUUGAGCUUCUUAAUUUUAGUGACACAUUUUUGGGGGGAGAAGAAAUGGGAGGACAGCCCUACUCUGAGGCAUGCUGAGCCUCACUGGGCUCAAAUGGCAGACUGGGAAGGCAGCUCAUUCCCCACCACCCUGUUACCCAUCAUUGCCUCCCGCCCACUCCCCAGCCCACUCGCUACCACCUCUACCAUAACUUUGGAGACAAGCUGACACUUGAGAAGAAAGAGGAGAAAUUUGAUUUUGUUUGCAUUUUAAUGAUAAACUACCUAACCUGCACUUCUUGAACCAAUACGCAAAGUAAAACACAGCUAUUGUUCCAGAUUCAACUGUGAUGCCAUUGUCCAGCCAAAUUCAACUGGGAUGCAUUUGUUCAACCAAUGGGCAAAAAAGCAUGCAGCAUUGGAGAAAGUGCAUACAUUGUAUAUGUUAGUGAAAAUAACAUGCAAAAAUGCAUUACAUUGAGGGAAAAGGUUAGCUAAAAUGUGUAUAUUAGUCAAAACUACGUACAAAAUUGCAUUUGUUAGAAUAAAUUUACACUAAAUUGCUGGUGAAGUUUCAUAAGGAUUUUUUUUUUAAAAAAACCAAAUUGCUGUGGAAAUUUGGAGAACUGAAUUUAAGAUUGGGAAAAAUGAGAAGCAGAAAGAACUGAAAUUGACAGAUUGAUCCAUCCCUAGCAUUAGGGAGCUAUCAUCCUAAAUUUCACCAAAUGCAAUGUCUGAUGUGACAUCAAUGUCAUGUCAGCCAAUGCAUUUUGAAGAACUAAGAUGGCAGGUGCCAAUUAAAGUGCCACUCUACUCUAUUCCUCUGCUACUGCCAGCACUGCUCACCAGGUGGGAAAGAGUGAAAGUGGCUGGCACCAUAUUGGGAGAGUGGCAAACUCUGGACAAGGAACCAGAAGCAGUGGCCUGGCUAGGAAGACUUGAGCUUGUCUGCCUUAGGCAGUGGCAUACCUUAAGGAAGGGUUACCAACAUGGUGCUCAUGGACACAUGCAUGCCCACAAAGGCCUUCCCUGGUGCCCACAGUGUGCCCUCGCCCAACUUAAAGCAGACUUGAAAAAAAGCAUUCUAUUGUAGUCAAUGAAAUUCAUUGUGCUGUGGGCUUGGUUGAUGUAUGUGUGUGGUACCCACUGCAGUUUUCCCAGUUUGUCAAUGUGCCCAUGGGUCCAAAAAGAUCAGCAACCCCUGUCUUAGGCCAACUCUGAGGACAAUGGACAGGAAGGAAGGGAUAGGCAAGUCACCACCAUUAGGGGUUGACAGAUCUGCCUCCAUUUGGUUCUGUAAGUAUUUCAAAGAUCAGCUGUGGCCAGUAUUCCACUCUUGAGUUUUCAGAGAAAAUGUCUAUAAGAAGAAAAGUGUCAAGGAAGUAAGUGUGUGUGUGUGUGUGUAGUUUCAGCAAAGCACUAGGAAAAAUAAAUGGCAAUAAGCCAUGACCAGAAUAAAGUAAAACAGAACCAUGAAACACAGGGGGAAAUUCAGUCAGAGGGACUUCCAGAAGGAUGCCUAGAGGGUCUGCAUAUGUGUAAAUUUGUCGUACACAGAUGACACACCUCUUCAUCUUGGCUUUUGACACUUGAGAAAUAUGUUUUCAAGAUCUUCUCUGGCUGUGAAUGUGUUUUGUCUUGAACUGUUUUUAAUAAUGUAUUUUAUAUUGUUGUGACCCUCCCUGGGACGUACUGGUGAACAACAACAUCAACAACAACAACAACAACAACAUAAUAAUAGUAAUAGAGAAACGAUAUGAGGGGCUAUGAGAAGGGAUGGGGAAAUGAAAUGAUUGUCAAAGCCUUGGUUCCUUGAUGACAGGAAGCUUCUUUGCUCUGUGGCAGAGUGCCUGCUUUGCAUGCAGAAGGCUCCAAAAGCAAUCCCCAGCAUCUUCAAGUAGGGCUGGGAAACAGUCCUGUCUAAAACCCUGGAGAGCUGGUCUCAGUCAUGAGUGGUAAGCAGGGAUGGGGGAGAAAUUUAAUUCAGUUUGCAUUUAAAGGCAAAUGCAUCAAAUCCUCACUUUCCAAAGCAAUACGAGAACUGAAACACAGCCACCCUUCGAAACUGGCAUGUCUCCGAAUUUUGUGAUGCAGUCCUCCAGCCUCCCAGUGUUUACAAAAAUGCAUUGGGGGAAAUGUGCAUAAAAAUGAAUAUAUUUGUGUACAUAACAUCCAAAAUUGCAAUACAUUAGGGACAUUUGCUUGCAAAAACAUGCACAUUACUCAAAACUGCUUACAAAAAUGUGUUUAUUAGGAGAAAUUUGCACUAAAAUACCAAUUAAUUCUAAUGAGGAUUUUGUUUUUUAAAAAACAGCACCUUGCAAAUGGUUGCAGAAAUGUGGAGAACUGAAUUUAAGACUGGAAAAAUGACAAUGUGAGAGAAUGUAAAGAAUUGACAGAUCCUUCCAUCCUUAAAGCUGUGUUAGAUGGACUGCCUUUCUAAGACCACCUCCUGUGUUCUUUCCAAGGAUUGAGCUUUGGAGCUGAAUAUUACAGGCAACAAUAAGUUCUAGUAAUUUGCUUGCUUUGUGCUGAUGACAGCAGAGCACCUUGAUUCUGCAGACACAGAAUGCCUGAUGUCACACAAUGUGACAUAAUGGCGGCAACAUGGGUUUCUCAAUUCUGGGCAAUUUCUCUAUCAUGAUGAGGUCAAUCAUUGCAAGCAAGUGGAACCUAUAAACAGGAAAAUAUGGUGCACUCCAGAGCUUUCCUUGCUGACCACAAAUAAGGAAUGUUCCACAGGGACCCUAACUGAAUUCCCUGAGCAUCUUGAGGUAUUGGAGUAUAUUUCACAGUGAUAUUCAUAUUGUCAAUAAUGGAACUUUUCUGCAGGAAAUGGAACUCUUUCUGUAAACAUAAUAAUAUUUGGAAGGCAGAAAAAUGUACAGUAAAUGUUAGACAAAAAAAUUAAAUUGCCAGAGUAUUCUCUGGUCAGCAAAACUUGCUCAGGGAAUGCUUAGUUUGAUUCAGUUUGCUGAAUCAGUAGUUUUGUGUAUUUUUUUUAAGCAAUGACUUUUCAGAUUCAUGAGGGUAGAGAAGGAAACCUUCAUAUUUAUAAGGACAAGCUGUCGACUUGUUUUCCAUAAUGUAUAAACUCCUUAAAAGGGGGGGGGAAGGCCUCCUUCCAACUUUUGGAAUGGUGGAACCAAUCUGUAAAUGCAAUAGAGCAAAAACAUUGGGCAGAACCCAGCCACAUUGAAGCACUUCAAAGUCUCUUUAAUGUCACUGGAACGGGUUAAGCACAUGCUGAAAUCUCUCCUGCUGAGAUCGAUGUGUCCUAAAAGUGCACUACCAUGACUGCACUGUUAUUAUAGGGUUAGGGUGGUCUGGAUGAUGUCUUUGAGUCCCAUUGCAGCCUGUGAUUUUGAAUCUGUUUAGAUGGAGUUGUAGCAGAGGCAUCUGCUGAACUGGUCAAACCAGUUCCUUUCAUAAGUUAAUAGUUCAGGCCAACUCAAUCCCUUUGUGAAUUAAUGGGCCUGUUGAGUGGCUGAUCUGCAUCUUAAUAUGCGGUCCAGCACAGUCCUAUUGCUAUAGGAAGUCUGGCAGGAGAGUGAUUCUCUCCAACAUCCUGAGGCCAGGAGUUCAUCUCUCUGUGUUCGUUAGUUUGUUGUGAAGCUGGGAGCUGGAAAGACGUAGAAAGGCUUGACUGCUGUAUGUGCUGAACCCUAAGCCGUGGCUUUGGGGAGUCCCCUAGAAACCUAAGGGGAAAGCAAGGGGGUGGUUGUUCUAUUACGAUUUCAUAAUUUGCAACAGGCAAAAGUGGAGUCAUUAUGAUGAAGCAUGGGCUAAAAAUACUCUAAAUAAAUUGAAUUCAAUCAUGGAAAUAAUCUUAGUUCCUCUCUCUCUUCCUCCUUUUCCUUCCUUUUAUUGGUGCAUGAUUCUCCCCCCCACUAAACAAAACACCCACCAUAAUUAAGUCAAUCCCUUUGGGACAUUAAUAAAUACAGAAUGAAGUGGCAUUUUGAAUAUCACGUAAAAUGUAUUUUUAAACUCUCCGGAAGCACAGCAGAAUGGAGAAAUGCAGUUUCUUCAUUUAAGGACAUGCGCUAAGCACAGACACAACUCUUCAGCUAGAAUUAAAAGUACCAUUUGACUGAAAUGGGAGAGAAUUAAGCACAAUGCUUAACUUUCUCAUUAAAAUAAAUAAGACUUAAGGAAGGUUUGCAGGGUCAUGCUCUAUAUUUUCCACAUGUAAUAUAAUUCUUUUUUGAGUUUGGACACUGCUUAUUCAUUUGUAAAAGUAACAAUAUUAAUAUAGUAAUACUGCAAGAUAAACAAGAUUUGUACUAAUAGAAUGAUCAAGAAUGAUCAUUUAAGAAUCAUAAGGUUUGCUCACAAAUCCAAUUCUUCAUCUCAGAUUGCUGUGACGUAGGGAGACUGGCCUAUUUAUUAAAUAAUAAUGUAUUUCUCCUUCUUCUUCUUCUCAUUCAUAGAAAGGGUUCUCCUGGUGCCAAUUAAUGGAUUCCUUCUUCCCUCUUGAGCAUCUCAUUCCAUCCCUUUUCAGUCUUGGUGCCUCUCAGUUACAGGUAGGAAUGUCAGAGCAUCCCAACGAAAACAGAAACUGGAGCAGAUAUUGUUUGUUCCAUGUCUGGAAUGGAAAUUACUCCAGCGAUACAAUCGGUUUUCACUGUUCUUCCUUUCAUUCCACAAAUGAUAUGUACUUGAUUACAUAUUUUUCCCCUUUUGCAAUGAAAUGAAAGGGGUGGUCUAAUGCAAUGACAAUGCAAUAUACAUAAUUUAUGUAAUUAAUUGCAUAAAUUAUGCGAGUUACUUCACCACAGUGGGCAGUGAGGUGCAUAACAUAGAUUUUGGCAGAAUACAAACGACAGUGGAACAGAUACAGUGUUGUAUGUGAUGAAUGGAAUGGAAAAUGAUUCCUUCUUACAUCCCUAAUCAUAGGUCCAUUCGAUCAAAUACCCUUUGCAUGCCAUUCUGCGUAGUUCUGCCUUGUUGUGCACAUUUUGUGUGUACUUUUAAUGCACAAAAUACACUUUUAAAACCUAAAAUACACACUUUUCAAUGCAUUCAUCCAUAAAAUAUGCAUUCUGGGUAUUUUUAAAGUAAAAAGAAUAUGGAUGUCUUAUGUAAAAUACUUUUUUUGUGACUCACUCAAAAUGCAUUGCGCAUUUUUUGUGCAAAUCUGGAGAAGUGCACAGUCUGACUGGGAGUUGCAUUCUGAUCCAUAAGCAAGGUCAGCAGCAUUGCAUCGCGACAAUCCACCACCAUGAAAAAAUGACCAAACCAAUUCCUCCCCUUAUUCCUACCAGGAAGUGCCAAAUUGGGGGAGUCUGAGCCUUAAAUAUUGAUAAGUAACAAUCAACCAACUCUUGUGCUUCAAGUCUCUACCAUAUGAUUAUUUCCAUUUGGCUUCCAUGUCUACAUUUAAAUAAUGGAAGAGAAUGUUUUCAAACAAUUAUUGACCCUGUCAUUUUUGUUAAAACCCAAACUUGGCUGAGUUGAAGCAUUUAGAUGUGCAUAGCAUAUUCUAUCCAAUAGCGACAUCUCCAUUCUGGGUUUUAAUGCUAUGAGAAUGCAGUUGUGUCCUGAGCUGGUAAUGGUAUGCCUCUUAUCAUGCCUUCACCAUAAAAUAUGACAGCAUGUAUGAACAUCAGAUAUUCAAACAGUAAAAUGUGUAAAGCUAUUUUUCUAUAAUUGGUCCCAGGGCAAGGGGCUGAUCUCGCAUAUAAAAGCCUCCAAAUAUACUCCUGGACAGCUUCUAAUUAGAGACCAAAAAUGGAAUUGAGCUUUGGAAACUGUGAUGAGUCCAUGCCUUUAAAUAAAGACACAGAGAAAGGACUAUAAUCAUGUUGACCUUGAACUACAAAAGACCCUGAAAUCAACUGAUUUUUACUCUUUAAGCUCCUUAACAAGCACAAGGAUUAAAGAUGAUCUGUGUGGAACGCUUCAUAUUAGAUAUAAAUGAUAGUGGACAAUAGAAUAUUUAUCCAAGGUUCCUGCGGCAGACAUUCAGUGCAAAUGCCAUUUUCCCAAGAUGCAGCGAUACCACAUUGCAAUGUAACAUGUAACCAUUGACAACAAUAUGACUGCAUUGGUUGGAAAGUACUCAAAUGAAACAGAGGAAGGCUUUAAAAAAAAACUCUGGCAUUUCUUAGUAUUCUCAAAUAUAUUUAAAUUAAUAACAUAUAAGGGUACCUGAGACAUAUGAGGCAUAAUUAGCAUUCAAGGACUACUAUAGCGCACUGCGGCUUUCCCCAACCUGGCGCUCUCCAAUGGCUUUGGACUAUGACUCCCAAUACCCUCCCAGUCCAAGACAGUUGCAGGGCACCAGUCUGGGGAAAGCUGGCAUAGUGAAUUAGAGGAUAAACCAUGUAUGACUCAGGAAGUCGCCAGGAGCUGUUUAUACCACAAGCUCAGCCUCUUUAGUCCAGUGUUGUGUCUGUAGCAGGGAUAGGGAACUUUUUUUCAGCCCGACGGCCACAUAGCCUAAUGGUCAACUUUUUGGGGGGCAAAUGACAGUGGUGCGCAAGAACAGAAGUGAAAGUGGGUCAUGCAAUGGAUGUUAAUUUUACCCUGGUAACUUUGUAGGCCUGUUUCUAUACUAACUCACGUACCCCUCUCUAUCUCUCCAUCCCUCCAAGCUAGCAAGGAGCAUGAUUAGAGUUCGAGGACACAGUCCAGCCAGACAGAAGCACUCAAAGAGGAUGCAAAGCCAAUCUGGUGAAGGGUGUGGCCGGAGCAGAGUCACAAGGACCAGAGAGAGGGGGGGAGACUUGGAGGGGUGCAUUUGGCCCCGGGGGCUGUGGUUCCUCACCCCCACUCUAAAGGUUGGCAGUUACUCUCUGCGGGGUCCUGGGAAGAAUGAAUCUUCUACAUCAUCUGCUCUCCGAUUCUUUAGAUCAGCAGAGAUGCCAGGGAUUGAUCCUGGGGCCUUUGGCAGGCAAACCAAGUGUAUGACCACUGGUCUAUGUGGCCUGUUCCAAUCCACAGCUUCGUGUAUUCUGUAGGCAAGCUUAAGCAAGCCUCAAACCCUUCCCUGUCUCCAAGACAGAGAUGAUAAUAAUACUGAUACGUCUCACUACAGGAAAGUUUACCAGGAAAAUGCAUGCAAUGUGCUUUGAGUUUCAACCCUCAUAAAGUAUAGUAUAAAUCUGAAGUACAAUGGUGAUAGGUAGAGGAGGAGGAGGAGGAGGACUAAAGAGCUCUGCAUGUGCAGUGAAGGCACAUGGAGCUCCUGAACUUGUGUGAUUCCCCAUCUAAAUAUGAAAUGAUGAGGACCAACAACAAAGGUUGGCUGUCACUUUCCUUCUUCUGGGUCUCAGAGACGCAUAUUUCUGGUCUUUGUUGGAAGCAACAUACCAGAUAAUCCUUUCAUCUGAUUCAGCAAAGCCAUGUGUAUGCUCUUCUGCCUGUUCUGCAUCCUUUCAUAAGGCAUCCCUAAUUCAUAGUGCUCCUUCCUGUUUCUGGAGAGCUCUGACCUGCUCACUGUUUUUUCCUGUCCAUCCUUUAUGCUACAAAGCCAGCCUGUUCCCUUGCAACAUUAUGACAGCAAAUUUCUUUGCAAACGUGUCUGUGUGGAUAGUGUAAUUACAUAGCGUAGUCACUAGGUGGCACUGAACUUAGUUUAUCUUGCUGGAGUUCUUGUUUGAGAGAGAUAAUAAAGUUAUUGUUCAGUUUCCUGAGUGGUAUAUCCUCUAGACUUCCAUAACAACAGCAUUUUUCUUUAUAUGACACCAUUGAUUUUCCUCCUUUGCUCAUUCAGACUAUCCUAUUUUACAUGAUUUUGGGGUGCUGGGGAGCAGUGCUGCUGCUGUUAAAUAACCCUUUUACAGAACUGGAAGACUGAUCUCACCAUGAGGAAGUGCUGAGAGCUCUGUUUUGUCAUCAAUAUGCCACAUUGUGUGACAUCUAGCAUUCUAUGUCAGCAGAAUAAAUAUGCCUGCCUUUUAUCAACACAAAACAUUCUGGAACUCAUUGUUUCAUAGAAACAUAGCAACCUUCCUUAGAAUGAGUCACCGUUAAUCCAUUCAGUUUCUAACCUGUGGUCUUCCAGAUGUUGUUGGACUUUUAUCACAUGAAAUGUGCCUGGUUUAGCUUUGCUUUGAGUCGAUUGUAAAAAAAAAGUAUAUUUCCCCCCAAAAAUGUUAAUCUUCCAGGUAUUUUUAUACCCAAGGGAAAUGUUCAAAUUAUCCGAAGUUUUCCAUGUUUGAGCAACUGAAAGAAGAGUAGCAAAUGAAAGAUGCAUUAGAAGUUCUUUAAAGAAAAUAUCAGAGUGACAAUCCUUAAACAUCAAAAGGAGGGCCAACUAGAGUAACAUCUGAAUGGCAGCAUGGAUAAUUUCAGAUCUUUCUUCAAAACCUCAGUCCAGAAAGAUAAUAGUGUUGGACUUCAACUCCCAUCAGAUUCAGCUACCAUGGUCAAUGCAAAGGGAUGUUGGGAAUUAUACGUUCAUGAUGU